GCGUCGGUGGCCGAGCGGUUAAGGCGAUGGAUUUAAGUUCCAUUGGGCAUAUGCCUUCGCGGGUUCGAAUCCCGUCCGAUGCG